AGAGUUUGAUCCUGGCUCAGAUUGAACGCUGGCGGCAGGCCUAACACAUGCAAGUCGAGCGGUAACAGAGAGAAGCUUGCUUCUCUGCUGACGAGCGGCGGACGGGUGAGUAAUACUUGGGAAUUUGCCUUUAGGCGGGGGACAACCACGGGAAACUGUGGCUAAUACCGCAUAAUGUCUACGGACCAAAGUGGGGGACCUUCGGGCCUCACACCUAAAGAUGAGCCCAAGCGGGAUUAGCUAGUUGGUGGGGUAAAGGCUCACCAAGGCGACGAUCCCUAGCUGUUCUGAGAGGAUGAUCAGCCACACUGGGACUGAGACACGGCCCAGACUCCUACGGGAGGCAGCAGUGGGGAAUAUUGCACAAUGGGGGAAACCCUGAUGCAGCCAUGCCGCGUGUGUGAAGAAGGCCUUCGGGUUGUAAAGCACUUUCAGCGACGAGGAAGGGUGUUGUGUUAAUAGUGCAGCACAUUGACGUUAGUCGCAGAAGAAGCACCGGCUAACUCCGUGCCAGCAGCCGCGGUAAUAC
rnacentral:rRNA from 1 species